AAUCUUCAUAGCAUCCCACAUCUCAAAGUAUGUAGUUGGCAGAUCUCCAGUGAAUUUAUUCUCAGAUAGGUCAAUGAUUUGAAGCGCAGAAAAAUUAUCGGUUCCAACUUUCCUUAAUGCACCAUGAAAGCGAUUGGAUCUCAAAAUGAGGACUCUCAACUCUGGAAGAUUUCCUAACCAAGAAGGGAAACUAUCAUUUAAUUGAUUUUCCCCAAAGUCGAUAAACUCUAACAUUGAACAAUUGGCCAAUGAUUGUGGUACUUGCCCUUGCAAUCUGUUGUGGUUUAAACUGAUAAAUCUCAAAUUGCAUCCAUUUCUCCAUGUUGGGGAAAUACUUCCAUCAAAGUAAUUGGAUGGAACUGAGAGUAGUGAUCCUUGUAUCAUAUUAGACCGAAUGUCUAAAACGCUUAGAUGAGCCCAUUGAAGAACAAUCGGACCUUCCUCAAAACCAGUUAAGAAGUUAUAAGAAAGGUUCAUAUACUCCAAUGAAUUUUUACUUAUGUUCCACAGCCAUGAAGGUAUUGGGCCUUGUAUGUUGUUUGAGGAAAGGUCUAGGAGCUGCAACUCAUAUUGAUUGUGCAAGAAAUGGGGCAAUUCACUGAGGUUGCAAGAAGCUAAUCCUAAAUAAGUAAAAUUAGGAAUGAUGGCAUUUGUGUUGCUUUCUAUGAGUAACCAUAAGUUGUUGUAUGAUAACAUCAAAGUCCGCAACGUUUUGAGCUGAAAGAAGAUAUUCACAUCCACAACUCCAGAUAAAUUGUUUGAAUGGAAGCUGAGAGUAUGAAGAUUCUUGAGAUUAGAAAGAGUGC
rnacentral:misc_RNA from 1 species